rnacentral:rRNA from 1 species
AUGGACUGCGCAUUCUAUAUGUACAUGAACCUGAAGCACUACUCCAGUGAUGGAACAACAGCAACCUUAAAGCCAGAACAAGUACGAAAGUUGAGGGAAAAGGUUCUAUAUCAACUAAUCAGUCAACAUAGAGGGAAUACAAAACUGUCACUAAUCAAGUGUACAACAGAUAUGCUGAAAUAUGAAGUAGAUAUGGAAGACAAAGAAAUGCAACAGGCGGAAUGUUGCGUACUAGAAGAGUUUCCGCCAACUCCUGGGCCAAAAGAACAUAUUAUGCAUGCGACAACCACACAAGAGCAUGAAGUUAUUGAUAUAUCCAGUAAACGCAAAGAUAUUAUGGAUGUCAGCAGCCACGCCGUCGCCCAACAAUCUUGCACAGACCACGAACAAAAUGAUCCAUCAAUAGAACCAGAUCAACCACCACCAGACGACAAGAUACCACACCAUGCCGAAGAGGAAACAGACGAGCAAAACAUCAACACCAAUAUCACGACCACAGAUCAACUGGAACAAACAGGCACUGAUUUAAAAGAGGAUGAUAGAAGCAACGACGUACCAAAUACACAACAAUAG